AUGUUUAACUGCACCAUGAGGGUUGUUCUUGGUUUGUUGUUGGUGCUGCUCGGUCUGUGUGGGUCAGCGGCUCAACAGGACGGUUUCACCAAGGUUGGUGAGAUCGGAGAGUUUCUCGAGACGGCUGCAAGAGACACGGCUGAUGAAUCGAUCGAGGACACAACAAAGCAAACACGCCACGACAUCUGGGCAGAGCUUAGGGCUCUGAAAGACACGGUGUCAGAUGUUUGGGUGGAGCUUUACCUGCUGCAGAGAGAUAACGCUGACCUUCAGACCAGACUGAGCAGCGGUGAGAGGGAACUUCUUGUCAGCAAGUUCAGGGUUGACCUGCUGGAGAAAGAAAAUGCAGACUUACAGACCAGACUGAGCAGCAGUGAGAGUGAACUUCUCGUCAGCAAGUUCAGGAUUGACCAGGUGGAGAAAGAAAAUGCAGUCCAAGAAACUAGACUGAAUGCCACUGAGAGCCAAACAAGUGGCCUGGAAGGAGAAAUUACAGACUUACAGACCAGACUGAGCAGCAGUGAGAGUGAACUUCUCUUCAGCAAGUCCAGGAUUGACCAGCUGGGGAAAGAAAAUGCAGUCCAAGAAACUAGACUGAAUGCCACUGAGAUCCAAACAAGUGGCCUGAAAGGAAAGAUUACAGGUAUUUCCCUGAUAAAGUAGUUGAAAAGGUUUCUUGUUGUCAUAGGUUGGUCUUUAUAUACAUUUUCUUAAGGUUCGACAUGUAUGUAAGUCUUUUUAAUUGAAAAACAUCCAUAAGAAUCUUGAAAUUAUUUCGGCAUGAACCAAUUUUGAAUUUACAGAAAUAAUCUCAAGUCUAACCUAAAUUCUAAAAAUGCAAACCUAAAAAUCACUCCAAACCUCAAAUGUCAAUCUGAAAUUUAGGCUGCAGGAAACCUCGGGGCAUCAUAAAAGAGAAGGCUUCAUCCCCUCAGAUAAAUAUCUGUACAAAAGUUCUUGUUAAGGGAUCCGGUAGUUAAGCAGUUUCAGUCUGGACUAAAGUGGUGAACC
ensembl:lncRNA